GUGAGCCUAGUGAUAGGAGAUUAUCUAGCUUGGUUCGGAGAGCACUUGUUGGGUGAAAUAUUUUUUGGUUGCUAAAUGUUACGGCCUAAAUGCUGAACUAUUGACCCUAC
rfam:Solanum lycopersicum unplaced genomic scaffold SL2.40sc06064, whole genome shotgun sequence.